GGCGGGGGGGGGGGCCUAUAAUGCAGUCGAGCGGACAGAUGGGAGCUUGCUCCCUGAUGUUAGCGGCGGACGGGUGAGUAACACGUGGGUAACCUGCCUGUAAGACUGGGAUAACUCCGGGAAACCGGGGCUAAUACCGGAUGGUUGUCUGAACCGCAUGGUUCAGACAUAAAAGGUGGCUUCGGCUACCACUUACAGAUGGACCCGCGGCGCAUUAGCUAGUUGGUGAGGUAACGGCUCACCAAGGCGACGAUGCGUAGCCGACCUGAGAGGGUGAUCGGCCACACUGGGACUGAGACACGGCCCAGACUCCUACGGGAGGCAGCAGUAGGGAAUCUUCCGCAAUGGACGAAAGUCUGACGGAGCAACGCCGCGUGAGUGAUGAAGGUUUUCGGAUCGUAAAGCUCUGUUGUUAGGGAAGAACAAGUGCCGUUCAAAUAGGGCGGCACCUUGACGGUACCUAACCAGAAAGCCACGGCUAACUACGUGCCAGCAGCCGCGGUAAUACGUAGGUGGCAAGCGUUGUCCGGAAUUAUUGGGCGUAAAGGGCUCGCAGGCGGUUUCUUAAGUCUGAUGUGAAAGCCCCCGGCUCAACCGGGGAGGGUCAUUGGAAACUGGGGAACUUGAGUGCAGAAGAGGAGAGUGGAAUUCCACGUGUAGCGGUGAAAUGCGUAGAGAUGUGGAGGAACACCAGUGGCGAAGGCGACUCUCUGGUCUGUAACUGACGCUGAGGAGCGAAAGCGUGGGGAGCGAACAGGAUUAGAUACCUGGGUAGUCCAA
rnacentral:rRNA from 1 species